UGGAAUGUCUUUCCUUGGGCCUGCUUCUGA
rnacentral:piRNA from 2 species